GCCCGAGAAGCUCACCCGGCCGAGCACCCGUUUCGUAAUCGGGAGGUCGUCGGUUCGACUCCGACCUCGGGCUCCA
rnacentral:tRNA from 1 species